rnacentral:rRNA from 1 species
AACGUAGGACGCAAGCGUUAUCCGGAGUUACUGGGCGUAAAGCGUGCGCAGGCGGUGAUGUAAGACAGAUGUGAAAUCCCCGGGCUCAACCUGGGAACUGCAUUUGUGACUGCAUCGCUGGAGUGCGGCAGAGGGGGAUGGAAUUCCGCGUGUAGCAGUGAAAUGCGUAGAUAUGCGGAGGAACACCGAUGGCGAAGGCAAUCCCCUGGGCCUGCACUGACGCUCAUGCACGAAAGCGUGGGGAGCAAACAGG